rnacentral:rRNA from 1 species
UUUCCGGUUGAUCCUGCCGGAGGCCACUGCUAUUGGGGUUCGACUAAGCCAUGCGAGUCUAUGGACUUCGGUCCAUGGCGGACGGCUCAGUAACACGUGGCUAACCUACCCUCAGGUGGGGGAUAACCUCGGGAAACUGAGGGUAAUACCCCAUAGGGGAGGAGGUCUGGAAUGAUCCUUCCUUGAAAGGACAUCCGCCUGAGGAUGGGGCUGCGUCCGAUUAGGUAGUUGGUGGGGUAAUGGCCCACCAAGCCUACGACCGGUACGGGCCUUGAGAGAGGAAGCCCGGAGAUGGGGACUGAGACACGGCCCCAGGCCCUACGGGGCGCGGCAGGCGCGAAACCUCCACAAUGCACGAAGGUGCGAUGGGGGAACCCCAAGUGCCUAUGCACAGCAUAGGCUUUUCCCAAGUGUAAACAGCUUGGGGAAUAAGGGCUGGGCAAGUCCGGUGCCAGCAGCCGCGGUAACACCGGCGGCCCGAGUGGUGGCCACUCUUAUUGGGCCUAAAGCGUCCGUAGCCGGUCCAGUAAGUCCCUGUUUAAAUCCUACGGCUCAACCGUAGGGCUGGCAGGGAUACUGCUGGACUUGGGACCGGGAGAGGACGAGGGUACUCUCAGGGGGUAGCGGUGAAAUGUGUUGAUCCCUGGAGGACCACCUAUGGCGAAGGCAC